rnacentral:rRNA from 1 species
GACGAACGCUGGCGGCGUGCCUAAUACAUGCAAGUCGAACGAGAGCGCCCGGUGCUUGUCCUGGUCAAUCUAGUGGCGCACGGGUGAGUAACACGAGGGUAACCCGCUCAUCAGAGGGGGAUAAUAACCGGACACGGAUGCUAAAACCGUAUAGGUCUUUGAGCCGUAUGGCUUGUAGAGGAAAUUCGGCGCAUGCUUCUGCUGUCGGAUGUACUCGCGGUGCAUUAGCUAGUUGGUGUGGUCACGGCUCUGCCAGGCCGUGAUGCAUAGCCGAACGGAGAGGGUGAUAGGCCACAUUGGAACUGAGACACGGACAAAAGUCCUACGGGAGGCAGCAGUAGGGAAUGUGCCGCAGUAGACGCAAGUCUGACGGAGCAACGCCGCGUGAGUGAAGGAGGUGUUCGGAUCGUAAAAAUCUGUUGUUAGAGAAGAACAAGUGCUAGAGGAACUGUUAGCGGCGUGACGGUAACGAACAAGAAAGCCACGGCUAACUACGUG